CCUCCUCCUCCUCCUCCUCCUCCUGUUUUUUGUUCUUCCUCCAUUCCAUAAACUGCACUAAUGCUGUUACUUUUGUGGAAGAUGAAAAUACAGCCCCCUCCCUAUCUAAUAAGAUAGGGCUAGAACAACGCUGAAAUAGCCCCCAACCCACAGAAGUGAUUUGAAGCUUUAACUUGAACUUGAUGCUGUUUCUCAAUAAGGACAUCCUAUUUGUAACCUGCUGAGCUUUGUGCAAUAUGAAAUUGCCAAGCAGGUAGUCCUGUGUAUAUCUGAAACGUGAGUGUUGUAAUCGUGGGAAAAGAGGAACUGAAAGUAGCUGACGGAUGGAAAUUUCAGAUGGGAACUGUCUUGCAAACAAAAACCUCAGAACCUGCAUAUCAUCCCUUUGGAAUCUGCUCUGCCACAUGCUCCUCAUUGCAACGGGUUGUCAGUGUAAGCGAUGUGAUGUUAUUCUGCUACGUUCCAAAUUGUGAGAAAAAUAAACCUCUGAAUCUCCAA